rnacentral:rRNA from 1 species
CUCCUUUGACGUUAGCGGCGGACGGGUGAGUAACACGUGGGUAACCUACCUAUAAGACUGGGAUAACUUCGGGAAACCGGAGCUAAUACCGGAUAAUAUUUCGAACCGCAUGGUUCGAUAGUGAAAGGUGGUUUUGCUAUCACUUACAGAUGGACCCGCGCCGUAUUAGCUAGUUGGUAAGGUAACGGCUUACCAAGGCGACGAUACGUAGCCGACCUGAGAGGGUGAUCGGCCACACUGGAACUGAGACACGGUCCAGACUCCUACGGGAGGCAGCAGUU